rnacentral:rRNA from 1 species
UGCCCCAGUAACGGCGAGUGAAGCGGCAACAGCUCAAAUUUGAAAUCUGGCUCUCGGGCCCGAGUUGUAAUUUGUAGAGGAUGCUUUUGGUGAGGUGCCUUCCGAGUUCCCUGGAACGGGACGCCAUAGAGGGUGAGAGCCCCGUCUGGUUGGACACCGAUCCUCUGUAAAGCUCCUUCGACGAGUCGAGUAGUUUGGGAAUGCUGCUCUAAAUGGGAGGUAUAUGUCUUCUAAAGCUAAAUACCGGCCAGAGACCGAUAGCGCACAAGUAGAGUGAUCGAAAGAUGAAAAGAACUUUGAAAAGAGAGUUAAACAGUACGUGAAAUUGUUGAAAGGGAAGCGCUUGUGACCAGACUUGGGCUUGGUUGAUCAUCCGGGGUUCUCCCCGGUGCACUCUUCCGGCCCAGGCCAGCAUCAGUUCGCCCUGGGGGACAAAGGCUUCGGGAAUGUGGCUCUCUCCGGGGAGUGUUAUAGCCCGUUGCGUAAUACCCUGUGGCGGACUGAGGUUCGCGCAUUCGCAAGGAUGCUGGCGUAAUGGUCAUCAGUGACCCGUCUUGAAACACGGACCAAGGAGUCGUCUUCGUAUGCGAGUGUUCGGGUGUCAAACCCCUACGCGAAAUGAAAGUGAACGCAGGUGAGAGCUUCGGCGCAUCAUCGACCGAUCCUGAUGUUAUCGGAUGGAUUUGAGUAAGAGCAUACGGGGCCGGACCCGAAAGAAGGUGAACUAUGCCUGUGUAGGGUGAAGCCAGAGGAAACUCUGGUGGAGGCUCGCAGCGGUUCUGACGUGCAAAUCGAUCGUCAAACAUGGGCAUG